UACAGCGGUCUCGAGCGUUGUUCGGAUUCAUUGGGCGUAAAGGGCGCGUAGGCGGCGCAGCAGGUGGGGUGUGAAAGCCCUCGGCUCAACCGAGGAAUUGCGCUCCAAACUACUGUGCUAGAGGAAGCUAGAGGUGAGCAGAACAGAUGGUGGAGCGGUGAAAUGCGUUGAUAUCAUCUGGAAUACCGGAGGCGAAGGCGGCUCACUGGGGCUUUUCUGACGCUGAGGAACGAAAGCCAGGGUAGCGAACGGG
rnacentral:rRNA from 1 species